rnacentral:rRNA from 1 species
UACGGGGGGGGCAAGCGUUGUUCGGAAUUACUGGGCGUAAAGGGCUCGUAGGUGGCCAACUAAGUCGGACGUGAAAUCCCUCGGCUUAACCGGGGAACUGCGUCCGAUACUGGAUGGCUUGAGUUUGGGAGAGGGAUGCGGAAUUCCAGGUGUAGCGGUGAAAUGCGUAGAUAUCUGGAGGAACACCGGUGGCGAAGGCGGCAUCCUGGACCAACACUGACGCUGAGGAGCGAAAGCCAGGGGAGCAAAGCGGG